rnacentral:miRNA from 8 species
UGAGGCGAGUUGAAGACUUAA